rnacentral:rRNA from 1 species
AAGUAUCUUCGGAUAUGAGUAGAGCGGCGGACGGGUGAGUAACGCGUAGGAAUCUACCUAGUAGAAGGGGAUAGCCCGGGGAAACUCGGAUUAAUACCGUAUACCUCCUUCGGGAGAAAGAAGGCCUCUCAUUGAAGCUUUCGCUACUAGAUGAGCCUGCGUAAGAUUAGCUUGUUGGUGAGGUAAAGGCUCACCAAGGCGACGAUCUUUAGCGGGUCUGAGAGGACGACCCGCCACAUUGGGACUGAGACACGGCCCAGACUCCUACGGGAGGCAGCAGUGGGGAAUAUUGGACAAUGGGCGCAAGCCUGAUCCAGCCAUACCGCGUGUGUGAAGAAGGCCCUAGGGUUGUAAAGCACUUUAAGUUGGGAAGAAAAGUUAUUGGUUAAUACCCAAUAGCCGUGACAUUACCAUCAGAAUAAGGACCGGCUAAUUCCGUGCCAGCAGCCGCGGUAAUACGGAAGGUCCAAGCGUUAAUCGGAAUUACUGGGCGUAAAGCGCGCGUAGGUGGUUUAUUAAGUUGGAUGUGAAAUCCCCGGGCUCAACCUGGGAACUGCAUCCAAAACUGAUUCACUAGAGUACGAUAGAGGGAGGUAGAAUUCACAGUGUAGCGGUGGAAUGCGUAGAUAUUGUGAAGAAUACCAAUGGCGAAGGCAGCCUCCUGGAUCUGUACUGACACUGAGGUGCGAAAGCGUGGGUAGCGAACAGGAUUAGAUACCCUGGUAGUCCACGCCGUAAACGAUGUCAACUAGCUGUUGGGGAACUAUGUUCUUCAGUGGCGCAGCUAACGUAGUAAGUUGACCGCCUGGGGGAGUACGGCCGCAAGGCUAAAACUCAAAUGAAUUGACGGGGACCCGCACAAGCGGUUGGAGCAUGUGGCUUAAUUCGAUGCAACGCGAAAAAACCUUACCUAUACUUGACAUAACUUGGAAUGCUUUGUAAAUGAAGCAGUGCCUUCGGGAGCCA